UUCCUGGUGGCUUAGAUGGUAAAGUGUCUGUCUGCAAUGCGGGAGACCCGGGUUCCAUCCCUGGGUCUGGGAG
rfam:TPA: Bos taurus chromosome 1, whole genome shotgun sequence.